rnacentral:rRNA from 1 species
UCGAGCGCGAAAGGAGCAUUCCGAGUAGAGCGGCGCACGGGUGCGUAACACGUGGGUAAUCUGCCUCAAGGUCUGGGAUAACCUUCCGAAAGGUUGGCUAAUACCAGGUAAGCUCACGGCGUCUUCGGACGCUGAGAGAAAAGGGGCCCGAAAGGGUCUCGCCAUGAGAUGAGCCCGCGGCCCAUCAGCUCGUUGGCGGGGUAACGGCCCACCAAGGCUACGACGGGUAGCUGGUCUGAGAGGACGAUCAGCCACACUGGAACUGAGACACGGUCCAGACUCCUACGGGAGGCAGCAGUGGGGAAUUUUGCACAAUGGGCGCAAGCCUGAUGCAGCAACGCCGCGUGUGUGAUGAAGGUCUUCGGAUCGUAAAGCACUUUCGACCGGGACGAACAAGCCUGGCCACACCAGGCCCUGACGGUACCGGGAGAAGAAGCACCGGCUAACUCUGUGCCAGCAGCCGCGGUAAUACAGAGGGUGCAAGCGUUGUUCGGAAUUAUUGGGCGUAAAGCGCGUGUAGGCGGCUUAGCAAGUCGGGCGUGAAAGCCCUCGGCUCAACCGAGGAAGUGCACCCGAAACUGCUGAGCUUGAGUGCCGGAGAGGAUGGCGGAAUUCCCCAAGUAGAGGUGAAAUUCGUAGAUAUGGGGAGGAACACCGGUGGCGAAGGCGGCCAUCUGGACGGUAACUGACGCUGAGACGCGAAAGCGUGGGGAGCAAACAGGAUUAGAUACCCUGGUAGUCCACGCCGUAAACGAUGAGAACUAGAUGUCGCG